ACGGAGGCAGAGAUCUCCUGCAGACAUGACGACAGCAACUUAGAUGUCAUGUUAUGAUUUCAGUGACGGUGUUCUGAUCACUCAGUGGCCGAAGUACAUAUCCAGUCUUCUAGGCUCCUCAGUUGAAAUGCACUGUUACCAGAACGAUACAGACUAUGACUACAAAUACUGGUACAGACAAAUUAAAGGUGAAGGACCAGUGCUUAUUGCAAGCAUCAUCGGGACUGCUGAAUCGUUUGAGAAGGGAUUUGAUACUGGCUUCAAAGUGUCAAGUAUAGAGACAAAGAAAUGGACCCUGAAAGUGGAUGUUAUCGAGGGGAUUGAUGCAGUGUAUCUGUGUGCUGCUAGUUAACACAGUGAAUGAAUGAUGGUAAACUAUAAGACAAAAAUUUUGACACCCUGCUAUCACACCUGCCUAAACCACAAAUAAAUGAACCUUUACAGACAAGUCAGCAGAACAAAAGCACUCGCACAGAUCAUACAGACAAUGACGUUACACUCCUCCCUCCCCAAAACAACUUCACAAUAAGACCUUUGUGCUAGUCAGUAGGGGAGAUGCGCAUUAUUUUAAUAUAGAGGAUUCUUCUUACAUCUUCAGUCACAUUAUUUUUUGAGAG